UGGACCCCACCCCUCUACCACCUCCAUGCCCCCAGUGUGAGCUCUGGGAGGGGAAGCAGGCACUGGGCCAUCCUCAUGGGUCUUUCUCUAAGAACACUGCUGGGUAAAAGUUGCUGCUGCUGUGCUACAAGUGCAGGAGAAGAGAACUUGCCGAGGAGGAAGGCUGAGGAGGAGGAGGGUGUAGAGCUGGGAGGGUUCUGGGAAGUUGCUGCAUGCUUGAGGGGGGAGGCAAGAGAUGAGCUGGAGGAGUGAGGUGCUGGGAGACUGCCUCUAUGUGUGCACAGCACACAGGUUAAAAGAAUUCAAGUUCCCAGGCCCAGAAGAGAUGAAAGUGAGGGAAUGUGCGAGUGACAGUGCUGGAUUUCUCCUCAGCUCCACUGAAAACCGGGAGCAGCCUGGAUUUCCAGCUUAUGGACCAGACUCUGCCAUGAUGCUGGUUACCUGGUUGCUCUGGCAAGUCCUUUGGCUGCCUUGUGCUUUAUUUCUCCUUCAAAAUAAGUACUAAUGAGGUUCAUCUCCUUAGUGAAGUAUUGAUAGUCCUUUGGAUUUAAAGGGAGCUUGUAAGAACAAAAUAGUAUGAGGAUUAUCACAACUGCUGUGCCAGAGGAUUGGAGGGGAAAACAUUGGUUAUGUCUCUCAAAGAGGCCAAAAGACGGCCAUGGGGAUUACAAAUGAGCAAAACCCCAUUUCAGUGUCCAGCAACUUGCUGGAAACAGUUCCCAAACUAAGGGCUGUGUUCAGAUGGCCACACUUUAAGAAAUCCCUCACAGGAAGCCUCCUCCAAAGGCAAAUACUCUCAGCUCAAUGACUGGCUGACAACUUUUUUGGGCUUUCUAAAUGCACAUAAGACAGCCAGAGCCAUCAGCGGGAAAAAAGCAGGAUUCUCCCCAAAAAGCCAUGGGAACCAUAAGCUGGGUGACUCACACAUGCACCAGUAGCAGGGAUGCCAACUCUGCUGCAAACAGAAAUGUUCACAUGAACCAUAGCCACCAUCCAAAGUUGGGAGUAAUCUUUUCCCCAAAAAGAAUGAAAUUAUCUUUUCUGUAGAAGAGAAGUUGAAAUGGUCACAAAGGGCAUAUGAAAGAGGGAGCAGGAGUAGUUUUAAUAAAAUAACACCUGCUAUGUUUUUCCUUUGGUAAAGGAAGAAGGGAAAUAAAUAAAAAAUAUGAAUGGCAAAAACCCCUUACAACUGAUAAAAAGGAAAUAGCUAUACACACAGUUAAUAGCUAUAACGCACAGUUAAUCCCUGCAAUUCCUUGCUGCAAGGCUGAGGCUACAAUCCAACAGAGGAAAAAAAAAACCACUUAAACAGGAUAAUGGAAACAUCCUGGGUUAUAGCAACAAGAGUAAACAAAAACUGUCAGUGUCAUUUUUUAAAGGAGUACACACACUUUCAACCAAGUAAGAAAAAGUUCCCCUGUGGUCCAUUUACUCCAAAAUUACAUGCCCUGCUGAACCAUUCUCUACUGCAGCCAGCGUGUCCUGCACCAGACAGGAUGCUGGUUUCAUGGACACUGUCCUGAUUUCAGGAAAUCAAGUAUUUCACUGUCCCCAACACUGCUAGGAAGGUGUGAAAAAAGGACUGUUCAACUGCUCUGUACCAGGCCAGCUCCAUCACCCCAUCCCAUCCUGUCCUGCCAGCACAUUCUGCAUAACCAAGAAACUGCUGACUUUCCAACCAGAGGAGGUUUCUCCAUUAUGAAGGAGACUCAGGCACUCCAGAGAAGUCCACAAGGCCAUGUCAAUAAGCAACGAUUUUUCUACAACCAGAGAUUAGAUGAGAAACUACAUUCUUCACUUCCACCUGCCUCUGACAGAUCUCUGUCCCUCUAGUACAGCACUUUCUGGACUAUUAUUAAACAGAGACUCAGAAUCAGGCAAA